rnacentral:misc_RNA from 1 species
CUGACUUUAUGAACUUCACCCUAAUUCAAGAUAGAAAAAUUUUGUAGUCUGUUCCCUUCUUCCCCAUGGAGAAGUUUCUAAGCAUUGAUUUUUCAACUUAACUGACAGGAUUAAUGUGAGGAUUAGAAGAUAUUUUUCAGUCCUUUAUCGGGAUAUCCCUGAUUUGGCAUUCAUUUGUUCAGUUGCCACCCUGUUUCUUGUUCAAUU